GGUGGAGCAUGUGGUUUAAUUCGAUGAUACGCGAGGAACCUUACCUGGGCUCAAAUGUAUGUUGACGUAUUCUGAAAGGGAUACUUCUUCGGACAAUAUACAAGGUGCUGCAUGGUUGUCGUCAGCUCGUGCCGUGAGGUGUCGGGUUAAGUCCCAUAACGAGCGCAACCCCUAUCAUUAGUUGCCAUCAGGUCAAGCUGGGGACUCUAAUGAAACUGCCUACGCAAGUAGUGAGGAAGGUGGGGAUGACGUCAAAUCAGCACGGCCCUUACGUCCAGGGCUACACACGUGCUACAAUGGCCGGUACAAAGGGCAGCUACCUGGUGACAGGAUGCUAAUCUCAAAAGCCGGUCUCAGUUCGGAUCGGAGUCUGCAACCCGACUCCGUGAAGCUGGAAUCGCUAGUAAUCACGCAUCAGCCAUGGCGCGGUGAAUACGUUCCCGGGCCUU
rnacentral:rRNA from 1 species